ACAAGUCUUCGCAUUUCAUUAUUUUCAAGAGGGUUUUGGAACGAUUGUUCACAUCGAAGGACAAUUUAGUUUAUUAUACAUUUUGUUCAAACAUUCGAUACAGGGCGUGUAUGAUGUGGCAGUGUUGUCGGGGGAGACGUGGGUCCGUGGUCAUUAUGGGAUGGAGGGGCUAGUGACCAGGGAGUGUCCAGACAGCUUUACUGAUGAGGAGUCAGACACACACAACUCUACAGGGUGAAAUAGACGGGGCGUGAGAUGUUCCCAAAUGCCGGAAGUGUGGCCUGAGUGAAAGAGUUUGGGAACCCCUGCUCUAAUGAGUAAGAUUUGUAUUACCUUAUGUCAAUUUAACAUGAAACUUAAAUAUACCCAGGAGUUUACAGGUGUUGGAUCUUAAUUUGACCUGUAUUGGCAUUUCAAAAUAAUCCUGCAGCAACAACAUUUGAAUGUUUAGUCCAUAAUGUUGCUUGGUCGGUGGUAAGAGUAUUAGCUGGACAAAAGUAGGUUACAUGAAAAGUACAAUACUGUUAAUAUAACUGUCUGAUAGUGCACGUUUUCAGUGAAUUUAUGUAAAACACGAAGCUC
rnacentral:lncRNA from 13 species